AGAUUGAACGCUGGCGGCACGCCUAACACAUGCAAGUCGAGCGGUAACAUGUUUAGUAGCAAUACUAGAUGAUGACGAGCGGCGGACGGGUGAGUAAUACGUAGGAAUCCUGCCCUUAAGCGGGGGACAACCAAGGGAAACUUUGGCUAAUACCGCAUAAUCUCUAAGGAGCAAAGCUGCCGCAAGGUGGCGCUUAAGGAGGGGCCUGCGUCCGAUUAGCUAGUUGGUGGGGUAACGGCCUACCAAGGCGACGACGGGUA
rnacentral:rRNA from 1 species